rnacentral:rRNA from 1 species
UACGUAGGUGGCGAGCGUUGUCCGGAUUUACUGGGCGUAAAGAGCUCGUAGGCGGCUUGUCACGUCGGAUGUGAAAGCCCGGGGCUUAACUCCGGGUCUGCAUUCGAUACGGGCUGGCUAGAGUGUGGUAGGGGAGAUUGGAAUUCCUGGUGUAGCGGUGGAAUGCGCAGAUAUCAGGAGGAACACCAAUGGCGAAGGCAGCUCGCUGGGACGGUACUGACGCUGAGACGCGAAAGCGUGGGGAGCAAACAGG